rnacentral:rRNA from 1 species
GACGAACGCUGGCGGCGUGCCUAAUACAUGCAAGUUGAGCGAUGAAGAUUGGUGCUUGCACCAAUUUGAAGAGCAGCGAACGGGUGAGUAACGCGUGGGGAAUCUGCCUUUGAGCGGGGGACAACAUUUGGAAACGAAUGCUAAUACCGCAUAACAACUUUAAACAUAAGUUUAAGUUUGAAAGAUGCAAUUGCAUCACUCAAAGAUGAUCCCGCGUUGUAUUAGCUAGUUGGUGAGGUAAAGGCUCACCAAGGCGAUGAUACAUAGCCGACCUGAGAGGGUGAUCGGCCACAUUGGGGACUGAGACACGGGCCCAAACUCCUACGGGAGGCAAGCAGUAGGGAAUCUUCGGCAAUGGGACGAAAGUCUGACCGAGCAACGCCGCGUGAGUGAAGAAGGUUUUUCGGGAUCGUAAAAAC